rnacentral:rRNA from 1 species
AGAAUCAACGCUGGCGGCGUGCCUAACACAUGCAAGUCGAACGCGAAAGGGACUUCGGUCCUGAGUAGAGUGGCGAACGGGUGAGUAACGCGUGGGUGACCUACCCUCGAGUGGGGGAUAACGUUCCGAAAGGGACGCUAAUACCGCAUGACAUUCCGGGUUUGAAGACCUGGAAAUCAAAGCCGGGGACCGCAAGGCCUGGCGCUAGAGGAGGGGCCCGCGUCUGAUUAGCUAGUUGGCGGGUAACGCCCACCAAGGCGACGAUCA